GACGAACGCUGGCGGCGUGCCUAAUACAUGCAAGUCGAACGAAGCUUUUUUAACUGGUGCUUGCACCGACUUAAACAACUGAGUGGCGAACGGGUGAGUAACACGUGGGUAACCUGCCCCAAAGCGGGGGAUAACAUUUGGAAACAGAUGCUAAUACCGCAUAACCACAGAAACCACAUGGUUUCUGUGUCAAAGAUGGUUUCGGCUAUCACUUUGGGAUGGACCCGCGGCGUAUUAGCUAGUUGGUAAGGUAAUGGCUUACCAAGGCAAUGAUACGUAGCCGAACUGAGAGGUUGAUCGGCCACAUUGGGACUGAGACACGGCCCAAACUCCUACGGGAGGCAGCAGUAGGGAAUCUUCCACAAUGGACGAAAGUCUGAUGGAGCAACGCCGCGUGAGUGAAGAGGGAUUUCGGAUCGUAAAACUCUGUUGUCAGAGAAGAACGUGUGCGAGAGUAACUGUUCGUGCAGUGACGGUAUCUGGCCAGAAAGCCACGGCUAACUACGUGCCAGCCGCCGCCGUAA
rnacentral:rRNA from 1 species